CCUACGGGAGGCAGCAGUGGGAAUAUUGCACAAUGGGGGAAACCCUGAUGCAGCGACGCCGCGUGAGCGAAGAAGGACUUCGGUAUGUAAAGCUCUAUCUGCAGGGGAGAAAAUGACGGUACCUGCGUAAGAAGCUCCGGCUAAAUACGUGCCAGCAGCCGCGGUAAUACGUAGGGAGCAAGCGUUAGCCGGAUUUACUGGGGGGAAAGGGAGCGAAGGCGGCCAGCCAAGUCUGGAGGGAAAUACAGGGGCUCAACCCCGGGGCUGCCUUGGAAACUGGCAGGCUGGAGUGCCGGAGAGGCAAGCGGAAUUCCUAGUGUAGCGGUGAAAUGCGUAGAUAUUAGGAGGAACACCAGUGGCGAAGGCGGCCUACUGGACGGUAACUGACGCUGAGGCUCGAAAGCGUGGGGAGCAAACAGGAUUAGAUACCCCAGUAGUC
rnacentral:rRNA from 1 species